rnacentral:rRNA from 1 species
UCUAGAGAUUACUCCUACGGGAGGCAGCAGUGGGGAAUAUUGCACAAUGGGCGCAAGCCUGAUGCAGCCAUGCCGCGUGUAUGAAGAAGGCCUUCGGGUUGUAAAGUACUUUCAGCGGGGAGGAGGGUGUUGAGGUUAAUAACCUCAGCAAUUGACGUUACCCGCAGAAGAAGCACCGGCUAACUCCGUGCCAGCAGCCGCGGUAAUAAUCGUCGAC